rnacentral:misc_RNA from 1 species
UACAGAGGGUGCAAACGUUGCUCGGAAUUAUUGGGCGUAAAGAGCGUGUAGGCGGCUCGUUAAGUCACCUGUGAAAGCCCAUGGCUCAACCAUGGAAGUGCAGUUGAUACUGGCGAGCUUGAGUCCCGGAGAGGGUGGUGGAAUUCCCAGUGUAGAGGUGAAAUUCGUAGAUAUUGGGAGGAACAUCGGUGGCGAAGGCGGCCACCUGGACGGGUACUGACGCUGAGACGCGAAAGCGUGGGGAUCAAACAGG